rnacentral:rRNA from 1 species
AACGAACGCUGGCGGCAGGCUUAACACAUGCAAGUCGAACGAGAUCUUCGGAUCUAGUGGCAGACGGGUGAGGAACACGUGGGAACAUCCCUUUCAGUUCGGAAUAACGUUGGGAAACUAACGCUAAUACCGGAUACGUCCUUCGGGAGAAAGAUUUAUCGCUGAAAGAUUGGCCCGCGUCUGAUUAGCUAGUUGGUGAGGUAACGGCUAACCAAGGCUACGAUCAGUAGCUGAUCUGAGAGGAUGAUCAGCCACAUUGGGACUGAGACACGGCCCAAACUCCUACGGGAGGCAGCAGUGGGGAAUAUUGGACAAUGGGCGCAAGCCUGCUCCAGCCAUGCCGCGUGAGUGAUGACGGCCUUCGGGUUGUAGAGCUCUUUUGUCCGGGAAGAUAAUGACUGUACCGGAAGAAUAAGCCCCGGCAAACUUCGUGCCAGCCGCCGCCGUAAUAC